UACGAAGGGGGCUAGCGUUGCUCGGAAUCACUGGGCGUAAAGCGCACGUAGGCGGACUCUUAAGUCGGUGGUGAAAUCCUGGAGCUCAACUCCAGAACUGCCUCCGAUACUGGGAGCCUUCGAGUCCGGGAGAGGUGAGUGGAACUGCGAGUGUAGAGGUGAAAUUCGUAGAUAUUCGCAAGAACACCAGUGGCGAAGGCGGCUCACUGGCCCGGUACUGACGCUGAGGUGCGAAAGCGUGGGGAGCAAACGGG
rnacentral:rRNA from 1 species